CCAGGACAUGAUAUCAUUGUGCUUCAACGAAGGUUCAUAGGCAGAAGGAACUUGCCUUGCCUCGGAUGAGACUAUGGACUUGGACUUUUGGGUUACUGCUAAAAUGAGUUAAGACUAGGGAACUGUUGGGAAGGAGUAAUUGUGUUGUGAAAUGUGAGAAAGACUAAAUUUGGGAGGGAUCAGGGGCAGAAUGGCAUGGUCUGGCUCUGUGUCCCCACGCAAAUCUCAUCAAUUGUAAUGUGAAUUGUAAACUCCAUAUGUUGAGGGAGGGACCUCGUGGGAUAUGAUUAGAUCAUUGGUGUGUUUCCCCCAUGCUGUUAUGGUGAUAGUGAUUUAGUUCUCACAAGCUCUGUUGGUUUUUUAAGGGUCUAUUCCCACCUUCACUCUGCACUUCUCUCUCCUGCCCCCAUGUGAAGAAGGACGUGUUUGCUUCCCCUUCUGCCAUGAUUGUAAGUUUCCUGAGGCUUCCCCAGCCAUGCCUCAGUGUGAUCCAAUUAAAUCUCUUUCCUUUUUAAAUUACCCAGUCUCAGGUGUUCUUUUAGCAGCGUGAGAGUAGAUUAAUGUAACAUUCUUACAGACUAUGAAAACAUGCUAGAAAUAGGUGCCCACAGAACAAAACAAAACUAUAACUUAUUUCAAAACAAAAUAAAGAAUAUUAAGAAAAUUAUAGAAGAUAAGAAAGAAUAUAAAAAAUGGAAAGCACAGAAGUCAAUUAAAAAGAGAAAAAUUUAUU
rnacentral:lncRNA from 1 species